UACGUAGGGUGCGAGCGUUAAUCGGAAUUACUGGGCGUAAAGCGUGCGCAGGCGGUUUUGUAAGCCAGGUGUGAAAUCCCCGGGCUCAACCUGGGAAUGGCAUUUGGGACUGCAAGGCUGGAGUGCGGCAGAGGAGACUGGAAUUCCUGGUGUAGCAGUGAAAUGCGUAGAGAUCCGGAGGAACACCGAAGGCGAAGGCAGUGUCCUGGCGCGUAACUGACGCUGAGGUGCGAAAGCCAGGGGAGCGAACGGG
rnacentral:rRNA from 1 species